AGUGAACGCUGGCGGUAGGCCUAACACAUGCAAGUCGAACGGCAGCACAGUAAGAGCUUGCUCUUACGGGUGGCGAGUGGCGGACGGGUGAGGAAUACAUCGGAAUCUACUUUUUCGUGGGGGAUAACGUAGGGAAACUUACGCUAAUACCGCAUAUGACCUACGGGUGAAAGCAGGGGAUCUUCGGACCUUGCGCGAUUGAAUGAGCCGAUGUCGGAUUAGCUAGUUGGCGGGGUAAAGGCCCACCAAGGCGACGAUCCGUAGCUGGUCUGAGAGGAUGAUAAGCCACACUGGAACUGGGACACGGUCCAGACGCCUACGGGAGGGAGCAGUGGGGAAUAUUGGACAAUGGGCGCAAGCCUGAUCCAGCCAUACCGCGUGGGUGAAGAAGGCCUUCGGGUUGUAAAGCCCUUUUGUUGGGAAAGAAAAGCAGCAGCUUAAUACCCCGCUGUUCUGACGGUACUCAAAGAAUAAGCACCGGCUAACUUCGUG
rnacentral:rRNA from 1 species